rnacentral:rRNA from 1 species
CGCUGGCGGUGUGCUUAACACAUGCAAGUGGUGCGACGAACCAGAGCUUGCUCUGGGGCAAAGCCGCGAACGGGUGAGUAACACGUGGGUAAUCUACCCCGAUGACCGGGACAACCCGAGGAAACUCGGGCUAAUACCGGAUGUGGUACGGAGACAUAAGUCUCUUUACUAAAGGUAGCUUCGGCUUCCGCAUUGGGAGGGGCCCGCGGCCCAUUAGCUAGUUGGUGGGGUCAAGGCCUACCAAGGCAACGAUGGGUAGCUGGUCUGAGAGGACGAUCAGCCACACUGGGACUGAGACACGGCCCAGACUCCUACGGGAGGCAGCAGUGGGGAAUCUUGCGCAAUGCGCGAAAGCGUGACGCAGCAACACCGCGUGAGGGAAGACGGCCUUAGGGUUGUAAACCUCUUUCAGAUGGGACGAAGGUGAUGCGGUGAAUAGCCGAUGUCAUUGACAGUACCGUCAGAAGAAGCUCCGGCUAACUACGUG